rnacentral:lncRNA from 1 species
GUGGGGGCGAGGAGGGGAGGCUGCGGUUACCGCCGUUCCGCACCCGUCGCUUUCCUUCAAGGGGAAGAAGGGCUGGGCGAGCGGAGCGGGGGCCAUCCGUCCGCCUUUAUGCGGCGCUCGCCCGACGCGAUGACUUCGGCGGAGUGGGAGGGCGGCGAAGCUGAGGCGUGACGACGUGAUCGCGGAGCUCCGCUGAGGGGGAGAGCAGCACAGAAGCAACGAAUGGCCUGGGGUGGAAGGGAACCCGAGGUUUUUCCUGUAGGGGUGGAAUGGAUGAAGAGGCUCUAACCAGUGUUUCUUUUCAAUGAAAGAUCAUUUUAUAACCAAAAACCCAAUUUAGAAGUGAAUUAGAGGAAGCAGUUCUACUACUGCUUUAAGCUUCCUUUUAUUCUCUCCUCUUGUUCUCAGAAUCUCUUUAGAUGAGCAGUAAAUGGUUUCAUCGCUACUUGGGAAAACGCUGAGAUGAAGCAAGCAUUUCCAUCCAUGCAGAACUCACGGUCCCUCCAAAAUGUCACCCAUGUGUUAUUUGGGUCAGCCACACACCCAGCGCUGAGGUUCCUCCUCUGGAAGUUUCACUUCAUCCAUUCAAAGUCACCACAACUCUUGGUUCCAGCAAGGACGUAACAAACCAUGGACAGCAGUAUAGGACUGCCAAGUAGUCUUUGAAGAAAGAAUACCUAAACGUGUUUGUUUGCUUGGAGAUGUUCUGGUGGCUCAUUUGUAAGAAAUCCAACCAAUAAAAAACUUGAUCAGCUCGGUUCUUAGAAAUCAUCUUUAAAUAUUCUUUCCUCCCACUUUUAAAAGCAGGGAUGGCCUCGCUGAAGCCAAACAAGAACACAGAAACUGAAUUAGGUUCGAGGACAAAUAUCCCUUUUUGGGCAACUUCAGCUUUGGAUCUCCCUCCUGCAUGCACAGAUUUUUCUCCAAGGAAAUGAAUGCCCCUUCAGCAAGUCGGAAGAAAACCCAAAUCCCUCUUUGGGUUCCAAAUCCAGAAGCGUUCGAUUCCGGAAUCCUGAGCACUGUGAAACAACCGACCUGCAUCCACCUCAGGGUCUCCUGGCACAGCUCUUCCGCCGCGUUAAGCAUCAGUCUGCACACUCCCGUCGUUCCGGCAGAGGGCGAUAUAAUUAAGCCGUUUAUUAAAGGCUCUCCAAGGCGAUCGCCGUAGCUGGCGCUUACAGAGCUCCCCGGGUUUUGUUGUUGCUCCGCGUCUGUGUUCUAAUGCCAAAUGUUUCCAACUAAAUCUUGUUUUGAUCCCAGAAAAGCUCACGCUGCUUAUUGCUCUUCUUACCGCACAAACACUCAGGCACAGUCUCAACAUCUGAAAAUAUCUCUAUGGAGAAAUCAAGAUAUAACCCUCUCUGCCACCAUUUUUUUUUCUCUUGUUCUCAGCCAUCCACUUGAGUGUAAACGUUACACUGUGCCUCACACCCCUAAGAAACCUUUACAUUAAUAUGUAGUUU